CCAAGACAGAGAGCUUGGUUCCACUUGCGAAAUACAGUUUUUCAUUGCCCUGUCCCAGACUGCUGGCACAGAGGUACACUGCCGAGUCCCCCUGCUCUGCAUGCUGGAUCUGCAGAGUGGAGCGGGUCCCCUCCUGCCUCUCGGCAGAGAACCGAUUAUUGGUCAUCCCUGAUUUGUCCAGUGG